rnacentral:rRNA from 1 species
AACGUAGGAGACAAACGUUAUCCGGAGUUACUGGGCGUAAAGGGCGUGUAGGUGGUUUAGUAAGUCUGGCGUGAAAUUUUUCGGCUUAACCGGGAAAGGUCGUCGGAUACUGCAAGACUAGAGGACGGUAGAGGCGUGUGGAAUUCCCGGGUGUAGUGGUGAAAUGCGUAGAGAUCCGGAGGAACACCAGUGGCGAAGGCGACACGCUGGCCGUACCUGACACUGAUGCGCGACAGCAUGGGGAGCAAACAGG